CCUACGUGAGGCAGCAGUGAGGAAUAUUGGUCAAUGGGCGCGAGCCUGAACCAGCCAAGUCGCGUGAGGGAAGACGGUCCUAUGGAUUGUAAACCUCUUUUGUCGGGGAGCAAAAGACGCCACGCGUGGCGUUCCGAGAGUACCCGAAGAAAAAGCAUCGGCUAACUCCGUGCCAGCAGCCGCGGUAAUACGGAGGAUGCGAGCGUUAUCCGGAUUUAUUGGGUUUAAGGGGAGCGCAGGCGGAAGAUCAAGUCAGCGGUAAAAUUGAGAGGCUCAACCUCUUCGAGCCGUUGAAACUGGUUUCCUUGAGUGAGCGAGAAGUAUGCGGAAGGCGUGGUGUAGCGGUGAAAUGAAUAGAUAUCACGCAGAACUCCGAUUGCGAAGGCAGCAUACCGGCGCUCAACUGACGCUCAUGCACGAAAGUGUGGGUAUCGAACAGGAUUAGAUACCCCUGUAGUC
rnacentral:rRNA from 1 species